CAAGUAUGGCAACAUGACAGAGGACCAUGUGAUGCACCUGCUCCAGAAUGCUGACCCCCUGAAGGUGUACCCGCCACUGAAGGGGAGCUUCCCGGAGAACCUGAGACACCUUAAGAACACCAUGGAGACCAUAGACUGGAAGGUCAGCAGAGCUGGAUGCACCAUUGGCUCCUGUUUGAAAUGAGCAGGCACUCCUUGGAGCAAAAGCCCACUGACGCUCCACCGAAAGUCACUGGAACUGGAGGACCCGUCUUCUGGGCUGGGUGUGACCAAGCAGGAUCUGGGCCCAGUCCCCAUGUGAGAGCAGCAGAGGCGGUCUUCAACAUCCUGCCAGCCCCACACAGCUACAGCUUUCUUGCUCCCUUCAGCCCCCAGCCCCUCCCCCAUCUCCCACCCUGUACCUCAUCCCAUGAGACCCUGGUGCCUGGCUCUUUCGUCACCCUUGGACAAGACAAACCAAGUCGGAACAGCAGAUAACAAUGCAGCAAGGCCCUGCUGCCCAAUCUCCAUCUGUCAACAGGGGCGUGAGGUCCCAGGAAGUGGCCAAAAGCUAGACAGAUCCCCGUUCCUGACAUCACAGCAGCCUCCAACACAAGGCUCCAAGACCUAGGCUCAUGGACGAGAUGGGAAGGCACAGGGAGAAGGGAUAACCCUACACCCAGACCCCAGGCUGGACAUGCUGACUGUCCUCUCCCCUCCAGCCUUUGGCCUUGGCUUUUCUAGCCUAUUUACCUGCAGGCUGAGCCACUCUCUUCCCUUUCCCCAGCAUCACUCCCCAAGGAAGAGCCAAUGUUUUCCACCCAUAAUCCUUUCUGCCGACCCCUAGUUCCCUCUGCUCAGCCAAGCUUGUUAUCAGCUUUCAGGGCCAUGGUUCACAUUAGAAUAAAAGGUAGUA
rnacentral:lncRNA from 1 species